UACAGAGGUCCCAAGCGUUGUUCGGAUUCACUGGGCGUAAAGGGUGCGUAGGUGGUUAGGUAAGUCCGAUGUGAAAUCUCCAGGCUCAACCUGGAAAUGGCAUUGGAUACUAUCUAGCUUGAGGAGUGGAGGGGGGACUGGAAUUCUCGGUGUAGCAGUGAAAUUCGUAGAUAUCGGGAGGAACACCAGUGGCGAAGGCGGGUCUCUGGGCAGUAACUGACGCUGAGGAGCGAAAGCGUGGGGAGCGAACAGG
rnacentral:rRNA from 1 species